UUCACUUAUGGGCAAUCAGAGGAAACGCCUAGCAUGCGAGCAGAUGUAUUAAUUAUUUCGGAGCAGGCUUGCUUCAAAAGCUGGCAUUUGAUUGAAAGGGAAUGCACUUCAAAAAGCUGAUGCUAAUUCUGGCUGCCUCGUUCAGGGCAGUCAGUGGUUCCUGACACCCCAGGAGGACCAGCACCAAUAUGUGGUGAACACUUCUGUAUCAUUCUUCACGUUUUAAGCCUAUGUGAAUGAACAGAGAAAAGGGAUUCACUUCCUCCUGGGAAGCUUAAAAUUAAAAAAUACUUUAUAGAGAUAGGUAAACAGAAAAUUUGGUUUCUGAGGAUUUCAGUUGCCAUUUGCAAGUGCUGCACAGCCUUAAGAGGAGGGCUCUCUACCACACUUAGUUGGGAAAUGGUGUUCAGGUGGCUGCAAAGCAGGCUGAGCCUGGAAGCUUUAGGCAAGAAGUCAGACAAUGCUGUCUGAAGGAGAGCAGGGAUUUUUCCUUCUACUUCCUGCCAGUCUUUUCCCAUAUAUCUAAUUAUCAGAAGAGCCAUUUUGCAGCACAAUGCUCAUUGUUUCAGGCUUGUUUUCAUCUGGGUAAUUACGAAGCCAGUGGAUAAAUGCUCUGUCAGCUGAGAACAUGAGGUACCAUUAAGCAUCAAGCACCUGUGCUACAUUUAUGUGCAAAGCAAUGGGAGGAGCAAUGGACCAAACCCCAUUCCCACCACCAGGGCUGCCCAGGUGCACCCUUCCCAGCCAUACACCCAGCGUUUGCUGGAAUUUUACUUUCUACACCCUACGGACUGUGCGUGUGGAUGCCCACAAGCCCCCUAUCCCCCCACAAUAAGACCCCCCACCGCAGUCACAGCAGGACCACCACCCCCCAGAGAACCAGCAGCCCCCUAUUGGGCCCACAUUCCAGAUAGGCUGCACGGAUUGUGACCAUCCCCUCCUUCCCACCCACCCCGCAAAUGAAAAGCCAAAACCGUCCCGGUCUCAGGGUAAAAUUACCUUUAAGUAAAGACAGAACACAUACAAAAGAAGUUGCCAGGAAGCACGGAAAGGAGGAAGAAGUCAGAGUUAACAUUUCGAUCUCUCUUUUUAAUUAUAAAAAAAAAAAAAAAAAAAAAAAAAAAAAGAAAAAAAAAAACAAAAAAAAAAAAAAAAAAAGACACAAAAAACAAAAACAGUGGUUAAAAAUUCUCUAACACCCUCUCCUCCUCUCGCCUUUUGAAGAGUCAAUGACAAACAAGACAUCAAGAAAACUAAACCUGCCCUCCUCCCCCACCUCAAAACAACAAGAGUUACUGAGACACCAAGUGUGUUAUCUUGUACCCUCAGGAUUACAACUAGAAGGGAAGUUUAGGGGUGCGGGAAGCACGGGGGGAAGGCGGU
rnacentral:lncRNA from 1 species